UGACGAUGAUGUAACUGAUGAAACAGAACAAGUAGUUGAUGUAGAAGAUUCCCAACAGGAAGAAGAAGAAAACUCAGAUGAAAUUAUAAGUGAAAAAAGUGCUCAUUCAGUUGCAUCAUCCUCUCAGUUCAAAACUAGCAAAAGUGAAAACUCUAUAAAAUCUGAAAGGGAUGCUACUGUGGAGGAAGUUGUUAUAGAAGCAUCUGGAGAUUCUGCUUCCGCAACAGAAUCAAAGAAAUCAGGGACGUCUGUAUCCACCCUUAGCACAGAUGAGACAGUAGAAGAGAAGUUCACAGCAAGAAUAAAUCUUGAACCUGGUGAGAAAAGAUCAUGGAGAGUAUUUUUUGAUCCUAAAAAGUUGGCUGUCUAUCACCAAACUUUGCAACUGGAAAUCGGGGGUUGGAG